GAGCCCGUAGCUUAGCCUGGUGCUUACUUGGAGCGCCGGUCUUAUAAACCGGUGGUCCCGGGUUCGAACAUGCUCCCUGGCGGGAGAGCAAUCAAAAUGCUUCGCAUUUUGGUGUGCCAAAGCUUGUUAAGCUUUGAGCACUUUCAACGCCAGGGGCGUCGAAAGUCCCGGCGGGCUCA
rnacentral:tRNA from 1 species